rnacentral:rRNA from 1 species
UACGUAGGGACCAAGCGUUGUCCGGAAUCAUUGGGCGUAAAGGGCGCGUAGGCGGCCACCGCAAGUCAAUUGUGAAAUCUCCGGGCUUAACUCGGAAAGGUCAACUGAUACUGCGGGGCUAGAGUGCGGAAGGGGCAACUGGAAUUUACGGUGUAGCGGUGAAAUGCGUAGAUAUCGUAAGGAAGACCAGUGGCGAAGGCGGGUCUCUGGACAGUUCCUGACGCUGAGGCACGAAGGUCAGGGGAGCAAACGGG